rnacentral:piRNA from 1 species
UUCUCAACCCGAUGUUCGUCAUU